rnacentral:lncRNA from 1 species
CCCAAACCAAAGUAACCACCUCAAAUUCUAUUGCCAAACAAACCAAGGCUGAUUAUGCCCAAUCUUCAACCUCAUCUAAAACUCUAGUCCCAUUGGAUCAAAUUCAAACUCUCAAACCUUUGUCUUGGUAUGAAGUCGUAACCCAGGAAGAACAACAGAAAUCUUUCUAGCUUGAAAAUCCACCAAAAACUUUCAUAGAAC